CAUAGUAGUGACGAUGUCGAGCCUGCGACGGGUCCAUACCAGGCCAACGCUUACCGUCAAUGGUCUUUGGUUCCGUCUAAUUAUCCAGUGAUGGCUCCCUGCUGAAUCCAGCGAUGGAUUCGUUCGUGCCGUCGACCUAGUCACAUUAAAUCUUUUUACGGAGAACCGCACCGUACCGAAGGCGAAUAGAGGAAAGAAUCGUUGUGUCGUCUGCCGGGUGUGGAUCUUGUUGGGUUCGUUGACUGUUGUUAGAAAUGGUUAUUCAUUGCGGUCGGUCAAGAAGCUUGACAAAGGUUCAUCCGCCAUUGUCUCCUCUACUAGUUUCGGCCUAGAAAAAGAAUUGUUUGAAGGUAGUAAGUGUUAUCGCUUACCUUCUAAUGGUUUCACAAACCAUGCUGCGGACGGCUACAGAGCGGAGGUUAAACGGACCACAAACUCGCUAAGCGACAGCGGCGUGGUCGAAACCUCUCUGUGUGGCUAGAAGUGACUUGAUUGACUGCUUUGCAUACAUCAAAAACUCAAGAAAAUUAAUAAGAAAAAAAAAGUCAAUACGCACUUUGUUGCUUGCACGACUGACAAGAGAAUCAUUGAACGAUCUUGCAUAAAGAUCGUCACUGACGCUGAGAUGUUAACCUUUUAGGGUAUCGUAACUCAACUCGUUCCUCCGAGCAUCGAAAUUGGCAAAAAAAAGCUUCGGACUCGCAAAAAGCGACGCAGUGAGUGAUAUUGCUACAUGGCAGUACCACAUCGUAUGACUUUGAUGAGUUCUUCAAUGGAAAUGAAUCCGCCUAACGGACAGCCUGCGCAUUACUCCAUUUUGGUCAAUGUGUCGUGCUCAGAAAGGCAAACACUUUUAGAACAGAGGCCCAAGUCAGCAAAUCGAACACUUUCAAGGUCGAAGCCUUUUUCUUCGUGGAAUAGGGGCGAAAGUCUAAGAUAUGUUUACCUGUACGAAAGUUUCAGUCAGUUGGUUAACCUAUCUUGGGUGCCCUUAAGCCCUGCGAGCUCGGCAGUGAACGUUGACACCGCUGUAGAAGAAGGGGACAGCGGCUUGGAUAUUGUUUUGGAUUUGUUUACAAGCAGAUGUACCCUCCGACGUUACUUCCUAUUCGUCACUUCCUGUCCUGUGCAUUUUCACAAAGGUCACGAAAACAUAGAAAAAAGGAAUAAGAUACAAAAAUAGCUAACGAAAACAACAAAGUCCUGCUCUGAUUCGAGUCUGACACGAGGAGCUGCACCGUAAGCACAAUUUUCAAGUUUCGUUGACCAGCUAAGCCUAGUUCUGUGUAAGGCGUCGGAAAACUGUUCGUUUGCUUUUGCAAAUAAAGGUAACCAUAGUGCAUCCAGAUAUGCGCCUGAACGGCUAUUACCUCCAGUGUUUCUGCUAUUGCCUAUUCGCAUCCUUGGCCAACAUGUAAGCUUAACGUAAACUCUAAACUACGUUCUAUUCAGAUAAUGCAUCAAAAGUGCGCUACAUGCAGAACUUUCUACGGCAACUUCCUGUGUGUUUCCGCCUUUUGGAUGUCGUCACUAACUAGAUGCUUAGUAGCCAGCUUCCGCUUUGUGCCCGACUUUGGUCUCUUGUUGCCGAGGGAAGAUUCAAAUCCUCUAGUACACAGAAGCCGUGUUCCUUAUCUCAAAUGGUGUAUAUUAUGUAAGGAAUAAACGAUAUAACAUUAUCAUA